rnacentral:rRNA from 1 species
UACGAAGGGGGCUAGCGUUGCUCGGAAUCAUUGGGCGUAAAGCGCAUGUAGGCGGCUUGCUAAGUCAGGGGUGAAAUCCUGGAGCUCAACUCCAGAACUGCCUUUGAUACUGGCGGACUUGAGUCCGGGAGAGGUGAGUGGAACUGCGAGUGUAGAGGUGAAAUUCGUAGAUAUUCGCAAGAACACCAGUGGCGAAGGCGGCUCACUGGCCCGGUACUGACGCUGAGGUGCGAAAGCGUGGGGAGCAAACAGG